rnacentral:rRNA from 1 species
AUGGCAGGAGCAAUGGGUUUGAAGUUGCAUGAAGAUUGGGGAAGCACCCCAGCUGCGAUAGAUAACUGUUUAUCUGUUGGAGAAGCUUUUGAUAUCCAAGUUAAUAUCCACACGGAUACCUUAAAUGAAGCAGGUUGUGUGGAGCAUACAAUUGCAGCUUUUAAAGAUAGGUCCAUACACACAUAUCACAGCGAAGGUGCAGGUGGUGGUCAUGCCCCAGACAUCAUUAAAGUAUGUGGGGUGAAAAAUGUGUUGCCUUCUUCAACAAACCCAACCCGGCCUUUUACUUCUAACACUGUUGAUGAGCACCUUGAUAUGCUGAUGGUUUGCCACCACCUUGAUAAAAACAUCCCGGAAGAUGUAGCAUUUGCUGAGUCAAGAAUUCGAGCAGAAACAAUUGCGGCUGAGGACAUCUUGCACGACAUGGGGGCAAUCAGUAUCAUAUCAUCUGAUUCACAGGCUAUGGGUCGCAUUGGAGAGGUCUGUUACAUACCCUUAUCCUUUUUUUUCAUUGUGAUGAACAGUUUUCACAUCUCAUGUUACUUUGGUUGGUGGCAAGAUUGGUUAGUUAGUUCUGAUGACCUUCAUAACUUGUAUUCAAAGCCAUGA